AAGUAUAAUAUCAACAAGUUAAUAAAGGGUUAGUUAUGGUAUAAAAUGAGUAUAAAGUGUUAGGGGGUUAAUCUAAACCAAGAGGAAAAAUAGUGUAUCAGAUGAAUCCAUAACUUAACAAAUGCAAGGCCUCAUCUACAUGUCCAAUGACCUAGGUUGGUUGGUGUAGGGGAAACCUAUCCAUGAUUCAAAGUACCAUGGAUGAACAUUUGAUCAUCC
rnacentral:lncRNA from 1 species